ensembl:misc_RNA Y_RNA Y RNA
GGCUUGGCUGAAGGCAGCUGAGUUAUCUCAAUUGAUUGUUCACAGUUAGUUACAGAUCCAAUACCUUAUUCUACUCUUUUCCUCCUCACUACUGGCCUUGACUAGUUAAAA